rnacentral:rRNA from 1 species
UAAACGACUCUCGGCAACGGAUAUCUCGGCUCUCGCAUCGAUGAAGAACGUAGCGAAAUGCGAUACUUGGUGUGAAUUGCAGAAUCCCGUGAACCAUCGAGUCUUUGAACGCAAGUUGCGCCCGAAGCCAUUGGGCCGAGGGCACGCCUGCCUGGGCGUCACAC